GUGCCCGCCGCGCGCUUGACCGGCACUCGCGCAGAACCCCCGCGCCCCGCGCCCCCUCCACUCUCUCCUCCCAGCUCCCUCAUCUCCAACCCUAAACCUUUCCCCCCACCACUGCAGCCGCCUCCCCGAGCUCCUCGCCCCUUCCACUCCCUCCGCGCCGCCUCUUCCCAUCUCCUGACAAGGCAGCUCCCAAGCAGAGAUCCCGCGGGGCCGAGGCAUGAAGGUGCGGAGGCAAGCUUCUCCGGCGGCGGGGGCGACCGGCGGCGCUCGAUUCGAUCAGAGAAUAUGAGAGGGAGGGAGAGAAGGAAGGAGAGGAGGGAGAAAGAGAGAGGAAAGAGGAGAGGGAGGUGCAGGGGCGGACGGGAGAGGGUCACCAGAAGGAGCGCCCCGGCUCGUCGUCGUUCACACCGCCCUGGAGAAAGAGGAUAGGGAGGUGCGGCAGUGGAUGGGAGAGGGCCAUUGGAAGGAGCGUGGCCGGCGUCGUUCGCACCACGCUGGAGCAGAGAUACCUAUGUACAGCCCUCAUGCCCGCAGAGUACACAAGUGGUUGCCCCUGAGGUCUCCUCCUUGUCCGGAUUGUUCAUUAAGUUUGUGGAUAGAGGAUGUGAUUCCAGCAAGACAGAGACAACGGCAAUGACAAGUGAGAUUUCUGUUAAGGAGUAUCAGUAGAUGUUCACAUGAUCGCUGGAAGCAUAUAAUGGUAUCCACAAUGAUGGUUGCUUUCUUAUCGACAUAGAAUUAAUUUAUAAUUAUUGAUAGUGUACCUUUGUGAUCGUAGCUGCAAUCCAUCUCAAUGUGUAGUUUCUGAACGUCCAUGUCCAUCGCCAGCUUAACAGCCUGUCAGAGCAACUCAGCCACUUCAGGGCUACAAACCUGAUCGAACACAUGACACACAUCUCCUCUGAAAGCUCCAUCUUGAUCUCUAAACACUACACCACCACCAGCAGUGAAAUGAACCUUGAUUUUAACUGUUCCAGUUUGUCUCUGGCUCUACUCUAUUUGGAUCCAAAUAGAGUAAGAAGGAAAAGGAAAUGUAUUGCGAGCCAGCAGAGCAAGAUUUUGUUUGGCAAGGGCAUUAACUGUAGGUAAGCGGAUGCAGCGAGCCAGUGACCAGAGAGUCUCGUGAUCAGACUGUGGGUGGUUACUGUUGCAAUAUUCAUAUCUCCCCUGUUUUGGGUAUAGUCCAGUAGCUGAAAGUUUGUUUAUAGUCAAAUUUAAUUGACUAACUGGAGAGUUCAUAUAUCAGCAUGAAAAUAAGCAAAUACAAAUGAAAAUUCUUGAAUGCAUUUAUCUUCGUUCAGUGUGUGCCCCAUAGUUAAUGCAUGUUCUUACAUUAGAAAGAAAAUGGAUAACCAUUCUCAAAUGCUGACACUUCUUAUAACUUCUCUUUUCAUAAGAACAUGUGCAACUUUUUACUUCGUGAGCAUGUAGUACAGUGCCAAAGAUUUGGGAUGUUGCAUAUACACAGAUUAUAUUGCAUGACUUUUUGAGAAUAAAGGGCACAAUGUUUCUUUGUUCCCUAAUUUCCCUCCUACUUUUUCUUCAGUUUCCUCAAUACACUUUCAACUACUAAUUAUUUCAGUUUAUUCUGGACAUGCAAUUUGAUGCAACAUAGUUCUCAUGAUACCAGUGAUCUUCAAUAGACAAAGGAAUUUGUGCAGAAUGCAGAAAAUAAAUAAGCCAAUCUUUUACCCCUAUACAUAGAUAAUAUUUAAUGAUGUGUUUAGUAAGGCCUUCCUUUGGUGGUUAUUUUUUUAUUGUGAUGCUUGAAACAAUUUUUUAAACUGAUAAUGAUCUGGAAUAAAACAGACCAAUGAUAUUCUAACCUACGAGGAGGCUGGGCACGUCUUCUAACCUGCAGCAGACUGUACAGGCAGCGGGAGCGCCGGUCCCGCUGCCGGUCCAGACCAUGGGCGCAGCUUGGUCGAGCUACAACGAGUGCAUCUGAUUCCAAAACAUCUGAUUCUCAGGCAAUGAGGUGUCAGUGUAGGCCCAAUCUUUUUGUUUGUUGCUUUGAAGAGUGCUGUCAUGUUGUGGAAAGGCAACAUGUGCUUGAUAUGUGGAGUUGGUGUUGAGCCUGGCGGUAGUAGACAGGGAAGGCGCCCAUCUCACUUGAUCUUGAGAGUUGAUUCAUAUCUUCUUUUCUUGAAAGUGCGAAGACAUUUCUUAGAUUGCUUCUUGUUUUUUUGAUAUGUUUUGUUCUGCUGAUAAGUGGCAAGAAAGAAAAGACCUGCUUGAAUUAUAGAAAGUGUUGUAAGAAAAUUAUGUGAAUGGAAUAUGAACUGCAUAUAUACGUAUGAUGCAACUUUCUUGCAUCCGGAGAUUGGAUUACAAAUUCCUCAUGUUUGUGUACACACAUUUCCCAAAAGUAUUACGUGCUGCACAUAUUCUUAUUUCUUUUGAUUAAUUUAGAGCAAGGUAGGUGUGAAGGCUGCCGAUUCAAGUCUCAACUCGAGCAAAACUUGAUUUCUUGAUUGUUUUGUCGAUGUAGCAUCUGAGACUGACUGACUUCUCUACCCAGUUCUGCUCUGUAAUUUCAGAAUAUAUGUUGUCAUGUGUUUGUCAUGUGCUUGCUUCUGCUUUCGGUGUUUGCUUUUCUAUCUAAUGUUUUCUUCUUGCUUUUGGAAUAGCUGCAUAUGUUUCCAAGUACCAAAUGUUUUCUUCUUGGUUUUCGAAGAAACCUUCUGACCUUAUUAUACAUGCAGGUUGAUGAAACUGAGGUUAUCGGCGUUCUCCUGCAAACUGAAUUAAUUCCUCUGUGCAGGCGUACCAUGGAGAUGGGCAGUGAGCUAUCAGAAAACCCUACUCUGCCACGCAGUGAUCCGGCCAAUUUUUUCCUCAGGUUGUCGUUUGCUCAUUGCUGUCCUGGCUGCGCUUCUUCCUUCUGGUUGCAGCAGCAGAAAUAGAAGAAAUGUACAGCCUGUUUCCCUCACCUGCCGCAUCUUCCACUGACAAUAACUCUACACAACAGCCUGUUGAGGUUUUGAAGGAUUAGUGGACCAGAAUAUUGUUCUGGAAGUUAUCGAUGUUGGGCAUUAUAUGAUUCUACCAGCGGAUUAUUUGGCUCCUGAUCUUAUCCGUUGCAUUGCAACAGAAUGUGGGGUUGAUAUCGAUGAGGCAAGUUGUCCAGAUCAUUCUUACUCAUGUUUAUUCAAUACCAUCGCUUGCAUUUUUUUCGAUCUCAACUACCUCUAUUUGAUUGGUCCUAGUACCCGGAAGCAAUGAUUAUUGAUCACAUUAAUUACGACUCCACUUUGGUUGAAGGUGAUCACACCUUGAUUGCUGGCGAUGAUCUGAUUCAGUCAGGUGUGAUAUUAGGGUCCAAAAAGAUUGAUGUUAGUACAACUCUUAAAAGUUUAUCUGAUCCUUUCAAGCACUCGGUCCCUUCGGGAAGCUUUGUGGGCGAGAGCAUGCAUCAUGAUGUCACGUUGGUGUUUGCCUACAAGGAAGGAGUUGUUGAGCCGACUUUCCUGUACUUCGGUCAUGAGCUGGAAGUGGUCAAGUGUUAAUUUUUUGCUCUGGUCUAUGGUUGUAAUGUUGGUGUCGUAUUUUUAAACAAAAGCUUAUGUUUUUUUGCUCAAACACAAAGUCACUGAAAAACGCAGAUGUUUUCAAUGUGAACAUGAUUCCAAA